rnacentral:rRNA from 1 species
UAUCUCUGUAGAGUCUGCAUAUCAAUAAGCGGAGGAAAAGAAACUAACAAGGAUUCCCCUAGUAACGGCGAGUGAAGCGGGAAGAGCUCAAAUUUGAAAUCUUAAAGGGUUUCCCUUUACGAAUUGUAGUUUAAAGAAGUGUUUUCUGUUGGAGUUUUGGUAAAAGUUCUUUGGAAUAGGACAUCAUAGAGGGUGAGAAUCCCGUAUUUGGACCAGUUACUUUCCAGCUGUGUGAUACACUUUCAAAGAGUCGGAUUGUUUGGGAAUGCAGUCCAAGAUGGGUGGUAAAUUUCAUCUAAGGCUAAAUAUUGGCGAGAGACCGAUAGCGAACAAGUACCGUGAGGGAAAGAUGAAAAGAACUUUGAAAAGAGAGUUAAACAGUACGUGAAAUCGUCAAAAGGGAAGCGUUUGACACCAGUGUUGUUUACGUUCGAAAAUCAAUUAAAAUGUCCUGAUUUGUAAGUUAGUAUUGACUUUAUCAGCUUGCUGCCUUUUUCUUGUCAAUUAUUUGAAUGCACUUUUCAGUUAACAAGUCAACAUCAAUUUCCUUUGUUGUAAAAGAGUCAGUAGGAAGGUGGCUUGCAGCUUCGGUGAAAGUGUUUAUAGCCUUUAUGCUUCUGCAAUCGGAGAGAUUGAGGUCUGCAGCGUAGAUCCUUCGGGGUUAGAUACAUUGGUGCUAAGUUAUAGCUUUGUCAUAGACAACAUGUUGACUAUGAUUAGGCAUGUAGCUUACUCGCUGAUGCUAUUUUACCUACGCUUAGGAUGUUGAACGCGCACAGAGUCUC